UACGAAGGGGGCUAGCGUUGCUCGGAAUCACUGGGCGUAAAGGGUGCGUAGGCGGGUCUUUAAGUCAGGGGUGAAAUCCUGGAGCUCAACCCCAGAACUGCCUUUGAUACUGAAGAUCUUGAGUUCGGGAGAGGUGAGUGGAACUGCGAGUGUAGAGGUGAAAUUCGUAGAUAUUCGCAAGAACACCAGUGGCGAAGGCGGCUUACUGGUCCGGUUCUGACGCUGAGGCGCGAAAGCGUGGGGAGCAAACAGG
rnacentral:rRNA from 1 species